AUAAUGAACACAAAGGGAAAGAGAAGCAUCUGAUAUGUAUUCUGUAGGCCUUUUAGAAAAUACGGAGUUGUUCCUUUAGCCACAUACAUUCAAAUCUACAGGAAAGGUGAUAUUGUAGACAUCAGAGGAAUGCAUCCUGUUCAAAAAGGGAAUGCCCCACAAAUUUUACCAUGGAAAACCAAGAGUCUAUGGUGUUACCCGGCAUGGUACUAGUGUUGUUGUAAACAAACAAGGGCAAGAUUGUUGCCAAAAUAAUUAAUGUGUAUAAUGAGCAUAUUAAGCACUCAAGAGCCAAGAUACCUCCCCGAAACACAUGAAGGAAAGAUAGGAAAAGAAAAAGAAGGGAGCCAAAGAGAAAUGUACCUGAGUUCAACUGAAGCAACAGUCUGUUCCACCUAGAGAAGCGCACUUUGUGAGAACAAACGGAAGGGGCCUGAGCUGCUGGAACCUCUUCCCUAUGAAUUCAUGGCAUAA
rnacentral:lncRNA from 1 species